rnacentral:rRNA from 1 species
AGAGUUUGAUCCUGGCUCAGAUUGAACGCUGGCGGCAGGCCUAACACAUGCAAGUCGAACGGUAACAGGAAGCAGCUUGCUGCUUCGCUGACGAGUGGCGGACGGGUGAGUAAUGUCUGGGAAACUGCCUGAUGGAGGGGGAUAACUACUGGAAACGGUGGCUAAUACCGCAUAACGUCGCAAGACCAAAGAGGGGGACCUUCGGGCCUCUUGCCAUCAGAUGUGCCCAGAUGGGAUUAGCUAGUUGGUGAGGUAACGGCUCACCAAGGCGACGAUCCCUAGCUGGUCUGAGAGGAUGACCAGCCACACUGGAACUGAGACACGGUCCAGACUCCUACGGGAGGCAGCAGUGGGGAAUAUUGCACAAUGGGCGCAAGCCUGAUGCAGCCAUGCCGCGUGUAUGAAGAAGGCCUUCGGGUUGUAAAGUACUUUCAGCGGGGAGGAAGGUGUUGCGGUUAAUAACCGCAGCAAUUGACGUUACCCGCAGAAGAAGCACCGGCUAACUCCGUGCCAGCAGCCGCGGUAAUACGGAGGGUGCAAGCGUUAAUCGGAAUUACUGGGCGUAAAGCGCACGCAGGCGGUCUGUCAAGUCGGAUGUGAAAUCCCCGGGCUCAACCUGGGAACUGCAUUCGAAACUGGCAGGCUUGAGUCUUGUAGAGGGGGGUAGAAUUCCAGGUGUAGCGGUGAAAUGCGUAGAGAUCUGGAGGAAUACCGGUGGCGAAGGCGGCCCCCUGGACAAAGACUGACGCUCAGGUGCGAAAGCGUGGGGAGCAAACAGGAUUAGAUACCCUGGUAGUCCACGCCGUAAACGAUGUCUACUUGGAGGUUGUGCCCUUGAGGCGUGGCUUCCGGAGCUAACGCGUUAAGUAGACCGCCUGGGGAGUACGGCCGCAAGGUUAAAACUCAAAUGAAUUGACGGGGGCCCGCACAAGCGGUGGAGCAUGUGGUUUAAUUCGAUGCAACGCGAAGAACCUUACCUGGUCUUGACAUCCACGGAAGUUUUCAGAGAUGAGAAUGUGCCUUCGGGAACCGUGAGACAGGUGCUGCAUGGCUGUCGUCAGCUCGUGUUGUGAAAUGUUGGGUUAAGUCCCGCAACGAGCGCAACCCUUAUCCUUUGUUGCCAGCGAUUAGGUCGGGAACUCAAAGGAGACUGCCAGUGAUAAACUGGAGGAAGGUGGGGAUGACGUCAAGUCAUCAUGGCCCUUACGACCAGGGCUACACACGUGCUACAAUGGCGCAUACAAAGAGAAGCGACCUCGCGAGAGCAAGCGGACCUCAUAAAGUGCGUCGUAGUCCGGAUUGGAGUCUGCAACUCGACUCCAUGAAGUCGGAAUCGCUAGUAAUCGUGGAUCAGAAUGCCACGGUGAAUACGUUCCCGGGCCUUGUACACACCGCCCGUCACACCAUGGGAGUGGGUUGCAAAAGAAGUAGGUAGCUUAACCUUCGGGAGGGCGCUUACCACUUUGUGAUUCAUGACUGGGGUGAAGUCGUAACAAGGUAACC